rnacentral:lncRNA from 1 species
GCUUAGAUGGCGAUGUGCACAUUGGAUCAUAUUCCUGGCUUCCUGUCUGGUAUGAAUUGAAAGACACGUAGAACUAUUACACUUUGUUCCCGCAAACAGUUGUGAUUGAAUGUCAUAUAAUUCCAGAGGCGAUGGGAGCUUCCUUCGGUGUUGAUACGGUAAACUCCCCCCAGGCAGGGCGAUUCCAGGCAGACAUAGUGCUGGGGCUGCCGCUACCAUUGCGAAUCUUCACGUUCCUAUCCAACUACAUCCUCACAAGCAGAUCUGUUCUUUUUACUGGAGAGGACCUGCUGUGCUCCAUUUGAUCACAGUCCUGACCCAUUUUGGAGGUCCUAUGAACUGGCACCUGCUAUCACUGAUGAACAUAGAUGUAAAAAUCCUUAAUAUAAUUCUAGCAAACAGAGUCCAACAACAUAUUUAAAAGCUCAUACAUCAUGACC